AUAGAUAGUUUCCUCGAUCGCGCUUCGUUUUCAAUCUUGUGCGUCACAUACACAAAACAAAAUCACACGCAAAACCCAUCUAUUCUCAAUCUGUGAAAAAGCUGUCUUUUUUUCGCCUAAUCUCUUUCGAAUAAAUCCACAAUAACGACAGGAAAGCAUUAAAUAUAAACUAUUUUAGAAGCAUCUUGAUGGUUCUUUCUUAUUUGCUUUUGUCAGUUUUGUGUAAUUUUGCGACUGUGGAUAAUGCUUUGUUGGACUCAUUCUGAGGUGGGGUUUUUGAAAUAUUGCAAAUUGAAUUCAAUUUGAGCUUUUCAGGUUGUUGGAGAACUUGGUUGCUUGAUUUUAAUGAAAUAUGGUCUCUGACUCUCUGUUGGGUUCUUGAUGAGUUUCGAGUGGAAAUGGUGAUUGAGUUUUGGGUAAUGGGCAUUGAAUAACAAGGAACAUUGCAAGUGUCCUCCUAGGAUUCUGGUGAGAUAGAAUAGAAGGCUAUUGUUGGUGAAGUUUGACUCUUGGGUUUUGAAUAAACAAGAUGGCAACAGCUAGUAAAGCUAGAAUUAUACUCGAGGGUUUAGUAAGAGAAGGAUCAUUUAAAUGGUUGCUCAGCAAGCGAAGUUCCUUUGACGAAGAAUUUGAGGAGAUGGGAAGGUCACCAUCUGCAAGCAGGAGUUGGAUAGCGGAGCUCUCUCCACUAGCUAAUAUGAUUGUUCGUAGAUGCUCAAAAAUCCUUGGCAUUUCUGCGAGUGAGCUGCAAGAAAGCUUCAAUGUGGAGGCCUCUGAUUCAGUAAAGCACCCAUCCCGGUAUGCAAGGAACUUUCUGGAAUACUGCUGCUUCAGAGCACUGGCUAUGUCUGUUCAAGUUACAGGUCAUCUAACUGAUAAAAAGUUUCGACGCUUGACAUAUGACAUGAUGCUAGCUUGGGAGAUUCCAGCAGCAGCCAGCCAACAUUUGGUUAAUAUAGAUGAGGACUUAACAGUUGGGCUAGAGGCUUUCUCAAGAAUAGCUCCAGCAGUUCCAAUUAUUGCCAAUGUUAUUAUCAGUGAAAAUCUUUUUGAGGUGCUUACUAUGUCAACUGGUGGCCGGCUACAUUUCUCCACCUAUGACAAGUACCUAAGUGGACUAGAGAGGGCAAUAAAAAAGAUGAAGACGCAAUCGGAUUCAUCACUUCUUUCUGCAGUUCGAUUUCCAAGAGGAGAAAAAAUUAUAGAAGUGGAUGGAACCGUCACCUCCCAACCAGUUCUUGAACAUGUAGGAAUAUCUGCAUGGCCAGGUCGGCUUAUUCUUACAGAUCAUGCAUUAUACUUUGAAGCUCUCCGUGUUGUAUCUUAUGACAAGCCAAAAGUAUAUGAUUUGUCAGAGGAUCUAAAACAAGUUGUUAAACCUGAGUUAACUGGACCAUGGGGUACACGACUUUUUGACAAGGCUGUAUCAUAUAAAUCUAUUUCCUUAUCAGAACCAGUUGUCAUAGAGUUUCCCGAGUUUAAAGGGCAUAGUCGUCGUGAUUACUGGCUGUCAAUUAUUCAGGAAAUUCUAUACGUUCACAGAUUCAUAAAUAAGUUUCAGCUAACUGGAGUUGAACAGGAUGAAGCACUUUCAAAGGCUGUACUUGGAAUUUUGCGACUACAAGCCAUUCAGGAAAUUAGUGUAAAUUUUGCUCAUUAUGAAAAUCUUCUCAUGUUUAAUCUUUGUGAUCAACUUCCUGGUGGAGACUUGAUACUAGAAACAGUUGCAAGCAUGUCUAGCAUAAGAGAACUAGAACGCAUGAACAAUUAUAAGGCUGGAGGUGGAAUGUACUCAAUCUCAGCCUUUGCCAUGAUUUCCAAUCUAGGGUUUGUGUUUGGAUCAAGUUCAAGCAAUUCAAAUGAAGCCCGGCUUGCUGUGGGUGAGAUAGCUGUGGGAGAAAUGAGUUCAUUAGAAAGAGCAGUUAAGGAAUCUAGAAAUAACUACAAAAAGGUGGUUCUAGCUCAGGAAACAGUUAAUGAAGUUAAAGUAGAUGGUAUUGACACCAAUGUGGCAGUUAUGAAGGAGUUACUUCAUCCUGUUGUGGAAGUUGGGAAGUGGCUGCUUGCCAUGGCAUCUUGGGAUGAUCCAGUGAAGUCUUUGGUUUUCUGUUUGAUUUUCACUUAUGUUAUUUGGAGGAAUGACAAUAUGCAAGAGUGGAGUUGGGUGGGGGGGAGGAUUUGUUCCGAUCCGUGUUCUCCUGUGGAAUCUUAUUAUGGGGAUGGUUGGCUUAUGCCUUUGGAAUGGCGCUCAUCUUUGUUGCCAUGUUUAUGGUGGUCACAAGAUUAUGUAACCAAGGCCAGCCUGUGGACGAACUUAAAGUACCAGCACCUCCACCAAUGAAUACAAUGGAGCAGCUUUUGGCUGUUCAAAAUGCAAUUUCUCAAGCAGAACAGGUCGUCCAGGAUGGAAAUGUUGUCCUCCUCAAGUUUCGAGCCCUGUUGCUGUCCUGUUUCCCUCAGGCAAGCGAAAAAUUUGCAGUAGCUCUUCUGUGCAUGGCUUUGAUCCUAGUUUUCAUACCUAGCAAGUACAUAGUUCUGUUAACCUUUUUGGAGGCGUUUACAAGGUAUUCACCUCCAAGAAAAGCAAGCAGUGAAAGAUGGUUAAGGCGCCUGAGAGAGUGGUGGUUUAGCAUACCUGCUGCUCCUGUGGUUCUUGAAAGAGAGAAGGAAGACAAAAAGAAAAAGUGAGGCUGUAAUUUUGCAUUAGAAUAUACAUGUACAUAUACAGUUGUGUGCUCCAGGCUGAGUGUAAAUUUAAACAGGAAG